rnacentral:ribozyme from 14 species
UCUCUUUCUCUUUCUCUUUUUUCUUUUUUCUUUUCUUUCUACAGUAAAAAGAAAGAAAGAAGGA